rnacentral:rRNA from 1 species
UACAGAGGGUGCGAGCGUUAAUCGGAAUUACUGGGCGUAAAGCGCGCGUAGGCGGCUUUGCAAGUCGGGUGUGAAAUCCCCAGGCUUAACCUGGGAACUGCAUUCGAGACUGCAUUGCUAGAGUAUGGGAGAGGGAAGUGGAAUUUCCGGUGUAGCGGUGAAAUGCGUAGAUAUCGGAAGGAACAUCAGUGGCGAAAGGCGACCUCCUGGACCAAUACUGACGCUCAUGUGCGAAAGCGUGGGGAGCAAACAGG